UAGAUACCCUGGUAGUCCACGCUGUAAACGAUGAUAACUAACCGCCGGCGAUAGACUGAUCGGUGGCUAAGCGAAAGCGAUAAGUUAUCCACCUGGGGAGUACGACCGCAAGGUUGAAACUCAAAGGAAUUGACGGGGGCCCGCACAAGCGGAGGAACAUGUGGUUUAAUUCGAUGAUACGCGAGGAACCUUACCCGGGCUCGAACGGCAUCUGCAUAUAUCAGAGAUGGUAUAGUCUUCGGACAGAUGU
rnacentral:rRNA from 1 species